GCGGGCGUAGCUCAACGGUAGAGCAACAGCCUUCCAAGCUGAUGACGAGGGUUCGACUCCCUUCGCCCGCUCCA
rnacentral:tRNA from 1 species